rnacentral:rRNA from 1 species
ACAAUGGGCGCAAGCCUGAUGCAGCGACGCCGCGUGAGGGAUGGAGGCCUUCGGGUUGUAAACCUCUUUCGCCAGUGAAGCAGGCCUGCUCCUUGUGGGUGGGUUGACGGUAGCUGGAUAAGAAGCGCCGGCUAACUACGUGCCAGCAGCCGCGGUAAUACGUAGGGCGCGAGCGUUGUCCGGAAUUAUUGGGCGUAAAGAGCUCGUAGGCGGCUGGUCGCGUCUGUCGUGAAAUCCUCUGGCUUAACUGGGGGCUUGCGGUGGGUACGGGCCGGCUUGAGUGCGGUAGGGGAGACUGGAACUCCUGGUGUAGCGGUGGAAUGCGCAGAUAUCAGGAAGAACACCGGUGGCGAAGGCGGGUCUCUGGGCCGUUACUGACGCUGAGGAGCGAAAGCGUGGGGAGCGAACAGGAUUAGAUACCCUGGUAGUCCACGCCGUAAACGUUGGGCACUAGGUGUGGGGGGCCUUUUCCGGGUCUUCCGCGCCGUAGCUAACGCAUUAAGUGCCCCGCCUGGGGAGUACGGCCGCAAGGCUAAAACUCAAAGGAAUUGACGGGGGCCCGCACAAGCGGCGGAGCAUGCGGAUUAAUUC